AUUGAACGCUGGCGGCAUGCCUAACACAUGCAAGUCGAGCGAUCGGCGGACGGGUGAGUAAUGUAUGGGGACUGCCCGAUAUAGGUGGAUAACUGCUGGAAACGGUGGCUAAUACCGCAUACGGUCCGAUAACUCACAUGGGAUUAGCUAGUCGGUGAGGUAAUGGCUUACCUAGGCAACGAUCCCUAACUGUGCUGAGAGGAUGAUCAGCCACACUGGGACUGAGACACGGCCCAGACUCCUACGGAGGCAGCAGUGGGGAAUAUUGCACAAUGGGCGCAAGCCUGAUGCAGCCAUGCCGCGUGUAUGAAGAAGGCCCUAGGGUUGUAAAGUACUUUCAGUCGGGAGGCGUUACCGACAGAAGAAGCACCGGCUAACUCCGUGCCAGCAGCCGCGGUAAUUC
rnacentral:rRNA from 1 species